UCCCUGGAGGACUAGCGGUUAGGCCACAGCGCGCUCACCGCUGCGGCCCAGGUUCGAUUGCCGGCCAGGGAA
rnacentral:tRNA from 1 species